rnacentral:lncRNA from 1 species
GAUCCCUGGCCUCCCUCAGUGGGUUAAGGAUCUAGCAUUGCCAUGAGCUGUGGUAUAGGUCACAGACACAGCUUGGAUUUGGCGUUGCCAUGGCUGUGACCUGGGCCAUGGCUACAGCUCAGAUUCAACCCCUAGCCUUGGAACCUCCAUAUGCUGCUGGUGCGGCCCUAAAAAGCCAAAAAAUAUAAUAAAAUAAAAUAAAUAAAAUAAAAUAAAACAAAACAAAACAAAAUAAAAUCUUAUAUUUUAAUUUACUUUGUUUUUUGUCAUUGGCUGAGGAUGCCAGGGUAGAAUGUAGCACCCUCAUCCACUCUGAUGAGGCAGAAUGAUGUCUCAGAAAAUGUCUGAGGCUUGGAGACAGAGAACCUAGGCCUGCAUCCCAGAUUUACUAUUUACUACCUGUGAGCUUUGAAAAGGUUUUACUAUAUUUCAGACUCUAUAUUGCCUAGAAAAGGGCAAUUAUGAGGACAUUUUACUAGGUAGUUGUGAAGACUGAAAUCGAUGUAAAGGGCAUAUUGUGUUUAUUAUUACGUUUUCCGAUUAUCCAGUACUUUCUAAUUAUCCAGUACUUUUUCUAAAGUUUGGGAAAUUUCCAGCCUAUGACAACUUCUCCUGAAAGUAAAAGCCAAGAACCCCAACCCUCUUCACACUUGGGUUGCAAACAUGUGACCUAUACUUCCUCCUGGUCACAUGCCCCUCCUAGUGGGCAUGCCCAGUGCUGGCAGUAUGACCUGGGGCUAUACCUGUAACAAGGCCAACACCUGGAACAAUCCAGCAAUAUGAUUUCAGCUAAUAUCACCUCAUAAACCAAUGUAACUUAAUUAACUUUUUAGAAAGACUAGCUGGAGUGGUUUUUACCAAUCAAGAAACCCUAAUUAAAGCAGCAACUAUUCCAGAAUAUGGCAGAAAGUACACAACCAACAAAUGAUAGUUGCUUAUACCAUUCUGGGUAGAGUCCAUUAUAUGAAAGAGCACAACCUAAUCAUGUAACUUUCUCUGAUUACCCAAUAUGAGCCAGAAAAACACAAAAACUAAAGCAGAGUGAUUAUAUAAAUUUCCAAAGUUCAAAGGGCUAGUAGAACCCAGAUUGGUUCAUCAUCAUUGUCAUAAAUUAAAAUGCUAUUUUAUAGAUAAGAAUAAUUCCCCAAGGUCUCAGAGCUCAGAAGCAAAGCAGCCAGGGUUUCAUAUGGUACUACUACAUCUUCUUCUAUUUUCAGUCAUAGCAAUAGGUCUUAUCUUUUGAAUAUUAUCCACAAAUUACAAGCACAAUUUAGAUCCUGGCUUCUAGAAGAAUUCUCUCUUUGAUCAGUUUCAGUAAGAAUAAUAAAAAAAUCCCACACUGCUAACUACAAAUGGAAUGCUAUCUUUUAAUCUUUUAAGUUGUUCUUCAAAAUGAGUUCAGGCUAGUGGCAUAUGCUAUAAUGAAGAGUAAGUCACGUGGUCAUUAUUUCUUGAUCGAUCCUGAUGCCAUAAAUGUUAUCUUCCACUGUGGAAUUACAGACUCUAAAUUAAAUAGCCAAUAAAUCUCAUAGAGGUCAUUUUAGGCAUAGAUUCCAGACAUCAGUUCCUGAUUUUGGUCCUUUUGCUGGCUAGCCAACUAGUUAGGUAGCACCAAACAAGUGAAAAUAGCUUAUCUAUGAGAGGCACUUGACUCUCAAGAGCUGUAAUUUCCUUUGUUAUUCUACGCCAACUCUAUUAAAGUCGUUAAACGUGACUUCAGCACUAAGGAUACUGAAGUCGUUCCAAUAGCAAAAGAGAUCCUGUUGCAGCACAUCGUAGGCAUGCAAUAGUUGUCAAUUGAAAUUUUUUAAAUGAAUACUUAGGAUACUCAUGCUGCUUUGUACUGGAGAUUAUGCUGAACACAAUCUACACUUGUUAUUAUCCAGGAACCCUUUUUUUUUUUUAACAAAAAAGACAAAAUUUCAGCUUUUAGGUUUCCAAGUUAGAUGCCUGGAGUAGGGGUGGGGUUCAAAAUACGACCUUGUCAAUUUCUUACUUUGUGCUUGUCUCAAGCUGGGAAAUACAAUAAACAAAAAACAGAAGAACCAGAGGUAUAGAGGCAAAAAGCUGUUCAAACUGUUCCUAUUCAUGCUACAAACGGGAAACCAUAAAACCUAAAAGAAUAUUCUUCAUUUCAUUUCAACCACAACCACAUCUGAAUGACAAGAGGGAUGCUUUGGGUACAUGCAGAUGCUAAAUAUUCAUCUGAGACAGAAGAUUUCUGUCGACGGCUCCAAGAUAUGAGUGACACAGCUCUGCUCACAGGAUGUGAAAUCCACAACCUGUAAAGUAAAAAUCUAGGCAACAAUCCAAUGUUUGAGAAAAAGAAGUUAGGCUCAUUUUUUACUAAAUCCAUUUGAUCACUUAUUUUGGACUCAUUGCUUUGAAACUUUUUUUUUUUUUUUAAAGAACAAAAGGAAAUCAACUCUACUUUAAUAAAAAAAAUUUUAAAAAGAAGCACCAAAAAGGUAGCAUAUCUCUUGGAGUCAUGUUGGCACAAUAGAAGUAGGUAACCAAAGAUUAGCAAGUUAGGAGAGGGGGCAUUUCAAGGAGUGAGCAGCAAGCCUCAAAUUGAGGGACUAUAGAGCUUCUAAGUCUCCUACAGACAGCACAGCUUGAGGCCUGCUGUCUCUUGACAUAUAACAGCACAGACUCUUUGAUCCUUGAAGUCUGAAGAUGAGUAUGUACAGGACUGUAUUACACUACCAGACAUGCCCAAUAAAUACUAAAGAAAGAGAGACAAGCCCAUGCAACAGGGGCAGGAACACAGCAAAAGCUCUUGGGAGAGAAAAAAAAAAAAGACAUGGGAGUUGCAAGAAAACGCCAACCAAAAGGGGAUAUUGCUUCCUUCCUUGGCUCUGCAUGUGAUCACCCUCAGCUAAUUAUGCCAAAUACCAGAGACCUAACAUUUUCCCUAUAGAUCCAUUAAAGAGGUGUCUGAGAAAAUACUGGAAGGAUGCUUGUAAGGCUGAAUUUCCAAAGUAGCUUCAAAGGGAAUUGUAAGAUGUGAGUACAUCAGGGAAAAUCAGUGCUGUAUGUACACAGGAAUGCUUACCUAGAUAUCUCUUCUUUUUUGUACACUUGUUCCAACAGGAGGUUUGUCACAGCUUAACUGAAACUUACACAAUUACAUGAGAGGACAUGUUACAUGAAAGAGUGGACAACCAGGAUUUGGGUAAGAUGUUCCAACGUACUUUGGUCAGUGACAAUCUGUUCUUAGUAAAAGGAAUUUAAAGUCCUACUUAUUCUCCUGCUUGUCCUCCUCCUCCUCCUAAUUAUUAAACUAAACUCCCAGACACCAAGGUAACAUCAUUUUGAUUAAUUUGUCAUUAAACAGGAAGUAAUAAACUUCUCAAAGGAAAUUUUUCCCCUGUAAAUACUCUUGUUAACUAAGAUCAAUCACCAAUUGGUAGACAACUCUCCCUUCACUUUCCUAACAGCAGGGCUUCCAGACUAGAAAGGCUUUUUGUCAGCAUUCUACAAAAUAAACCUUGGAGUUGACUCAUGCCACUAAGCCUGACACCAGCAGUAACACUGAUCGGUUACAUUGGAUUUAUACCCUGAAUUCCCUCUGGUGCUAAUUAAUAUCUGCAAAAUGGAAAUUUUUUUAUUAAAUUUUUGUCACUGAAGUGUAGGAAGAACUAACAUUUAUAAAAGGUUUUGAGCUACACUAAAGAGUAAAUGAGGCAGUAAUAUCUUUUCAUCACCAUAUGAAAUUUAGGGAAAAUUCUAAUUUAAUGUAAUUACAUAGUUUUGUAAACUAUGUAAAAUUAAAGUUUUAAUUACUAGGAUCAAAUGAAAAAUUUACACGUCAAAGGUUCUUUUUUAAAAAAAUACAAAAAUAAGAUCUACAAUAUUGCAUCUUUAUUAAUAUAAAGUAUUACAUCCCAUCUCCUCUUGGAAAGCUAAUUUUAAGAAAAUAGAAGCUGAUAAUUAUUAAAUUAAUAUCAUAACAAUUUAACUCCAUAAAUGCUUACUGAGCAAUUUUGACAUCAUAAAAAAUGCCCAACUCAGAAUGAUGCAUAUUACAAGAUAAAUGAAUAACAAAAAGAGAACUGAACCUAGCAUAUUUGUUUCAGAUAUUCAUUUUUAAGUAAUAGAAAUCAUUAAAUAAUCUCAAAGGGUGAGAAAUUUUACAUUAUAUCUCCAGCAAAGAGCUAGGGUAAUAAUCAGGGACCUACUAUCAUCAUUUCCUACACAUAAAAGUUAAUUUUAUGUGUCAACUUGAUUGGGCCACCAGGUGCUCAGACAUUUGAUUCAAACAUUAUUCUGAGUAUGCCUGUGAGGCAUUUCUAGAUGAGAUUAACAUUUGAAAUGGUAGGAAUAAAGCAAAUGAUCUCCCCACACUCCCAACCCCACCCCUCCCUGCAACGAAUGGCCGAAUGGCCCGUGUUCAGUCUGUUGAAGGCCUGGCUAGAACAAAAAGACUGAUCCUCCUUCAAAUAACAGGGAAUUUCUGCUUCCUGCCAGAGCUAAAACUCUGGUCUGCUCUGUCUUUUGGUCUCAGACAAAAGUAUUUAGCUCCCCACCCCCAACUACCCCAAAAGCUCUUCUAGAGUUUCAAGUCUGCUGGACCUACAAAUGGGCUCUCCUAAGUCUCUAGCUUGCUGAUUACAGACAAAUAUGGGACUUCUCAGCCUCUAUAUUCACAUGAGCAAUUCCUUAUUAUAUAUUUAUAUAUUUUAUAGGAUGUGGCAAUAGAUGUAUCCUGUUGGUCCUGUUUUUCUAGAGAAACUUGACUAAUAUGCUAAGGGUGCUAAAAAGUGCUAUGAUAAAAGAAAUUCACUAAACAUGCAAGAAGGUGGCCCAAGAUUUUUCUUUUUUAUUUAUUUAUUUAUUUGGCUUUUUAGGGCUGCACCUGCAGCACAUGGAAGGUCCCAGGCUAGGGAUCAAAUCGGAGCUACAGCUGCUGGCCUAUACCACAGCCACAGCAACACUGGAUCUGAACUGAGUCUGUGACUUACACCACAGCUCAUGGCAAUGCCAGAUCCCUGACCCACUGAGGGAAGCCAGGGAUCAAACCUGCAUCCUAGUCAGAUUGUUUCCACUGAGCUACAACAGGAAUUCCCCAAGCUUCCCUUUUCUGAAUAACUUUGAGGAAGAAAAUAUUUGUGAAAAACAAAAUAGACUGCACUUCCCAGUGACAAAAGUAAACUAUUUUUUAAACGUUGUAAACAAAAUAUAUGAGUCAGACCAAAAAAAACCUCAAAACUUACUUAAUGGAUCAACAGAUUCAAAACAUGAGAAAUGGACAAACAAGGUAACAAGAUCUGAAAUUCAAUGAUUUCUUAUUUUUAAAGAAGAAAGUUUAUUGGGUAUUUUAUCAAAAAAUACAGUGUUCAUUAAAAAAAAAAAUUAGACUUAAAAGAGGACCCCAAAGAAACAAAGUCGUGAAAAGAAAAAAAAAAUCUAAAAGGUAGGAUGAAAAUUCCCCUUUGUCCAUUUAUCAUGAUUUAGGAAAAAAGAAGAAAAAGACAAAGGAAAGGGGAACAGAGUAUGACUGAAACAACCCAACAGCUUCUCAAUAAGAAGAGUUAAUUUUCAACUACAGGCCAGGAGGGAAUGGCAAGAGAUAUUUAAAGUGCUAAAAGGAAAAAAUAUGCAACCUAGAAUACUCUAUCCAGCAAGAAUAUCAUUUAAAAUAGAAGGGGAAAUAAA